UUUUUGUUCAGUAUAACUAGCUAGCUAGCUGGCUAACAUUAGCCUACCUUAAUACAACUCUGAUUUGUCUUGGAAACACGAGAACAUUUCAAAACAUUUGUAGGAAAACCUUUUGUCAUGAUUGUGAGGUUGCCAGAUUGACUUUAGAUGCAGUAUAACUUUAGCCAGCAAACUAAGAUUGAGAGGACCACCGUAUUUUAGCUAGCUAACAUUAGCAUUGCUAGAUAUUUUUGACGAACUUUGCUAGCUAACAUUGCCAUCGCUCUAAAGUAAAUAUGACGGCAUCAUAAUAUGGCAAAGUUGUUUCCUGCUAAUUAUUUGCCUACUUUAGCAAUGUCAUCGUAUUUCCAUGCCACUGUAAAUUAGUGUAAUUUAGGCAAAACAGUCACAUUAGCCUCCAAGGUGCAACCCAUGUCUAGGGCACAAAUCAAUAUUGGAUGCAGCUAUGUUGGUACUAGCUAAGUCAUGUCUGACUACAACAGUGUACUAAAUAGCAGCAACAAACUCAAUCCAACCCAGGGCCAUAGCAAAACAUGUCACAGUUGGUUGCAUAGUGUAACGGCGUCACCGGCCUGAAUCUAAUCCAAUCUGGAGCCAGUUAGUCAACUGUAAAGCAUCGAAUUAGCUUCCAAACGAGAUUACGUUAUUUCUCAAGCUAUGUUUAUAACUGAGGGACGAUGACAAUCGUUGACCCUGUUUUUCUGUUAGACCAAGUGCACAGUUGAGUGCCAAACGGAUCCCCUGGUCAUGAACGGAUGCCCGGACCUACCAGAAGGAGCAAAGCUUGUCAAGCAAUUCCUCAGAAAAAAAGUGUGUCAUGUGACACAAGAACCCCUUGUGACACCUCCUCCGUUGUUGCCAGUCUCCCUUGACUCCUAUGAAAAGGAUAGUGACCCGAGUUACUGCCCUGAUGACACAGAUGGCUUCAUAAACAACGACAGGCCCUCCCAGUCAACACCACCUCAUAAGAUUGCCUGCUGCAGUUGUUCGAGAGAUGUCCAGUUUGCAGCUGAACAUGCAGCAUAGAGAAGACCAGCAAGGAGGCCCUCAUCAGCAUCAUGUUGACAUGCCCUCGCUGUGAGCAUUCUUAUGAAUGGAACAGUCAGCCACAUAUUGGCAAGUAUCCAGCCAGCAACCUUCACCUGUCAGCGGCAACAGCUUUCACAGGCUCAUCAUUUGUACAAAUACAGAAGUAUCUUUGAUGAGGGUCCAGGAGCUGAUCUACGCUGCUAUGCCCAUAGACCUCGCCUCCAGCCUCACCUCAAUGGGGAGAACAGAAUUAGAUACCUGUAUAGUGCCAGUAUGGAGUCAGCACAUGGAGACUUGUAAGAUGAUGUGAUGAAGUCCAGACUGACAGACAGGCUUGAUCCUGAUGUCUCUGAAUGGAUAGAGACCUGGCACUCAACAUAAACAUUUUACUAGACACAACUUUUACUUGCAAUGUCUUUUUUUCUUAUUAAAUUGAUUGAUAUCAGUCAAUAUGAGGAAGGAGAAACCUUGUGUAUUCUGCCCCAGCAUCAGGGAACUCCUUUUGUAUACGGGACACCACACAGGAAGGUAUGA